rnacentral:rRNA from 1 species
GGGGAAUUUUCCGCAAUGGGCGAAAGCCUGACGGAGCAAUACCGCGUGAGGGAGGAAGGCUCUUGGGUCGUAAACCUCUUUUCUCAAGGAAUAAGUUCUGAAGGUACUUGAGGAAUAAGCAUCGGCUAACUCCGUGCCAGCAGCCGCGGUAAUACGGAGGAUGCAAGCGUUAUCCGGAAUGAUUGGGCGUAAAGCGUCCGCAGGUGGUUAUGUAAGUCUGUUGUUAAAGCGUGCGGCUCAACCGCAUAAGGGCAAUGGAAACUACAAGACUAGAGUGCGUUAGGGGUAGAGGGAAUUCCUGGUGUAGCGGUGAAAUGCGUAGAUAUCAGGAAGAACACCAGUGGCGAAGGCGCUCUGCUAUGCCGCAACUGACACUGAGGGACGAAAGCUAGGGGAGCGAAUGGGAUUAGAUACCCC